UGCAAUCAUUCGUCUUUAUUUCACCCCGUUUUCCCCUGUUCUCUAUACUCUCUUCGAACUUCUUCUUUCGACGUAAUUCUGGAAUGGAACCCCCGGCUUUAGGAACCGAGAACAACCCAAAAACAAGACUUCCACCCAUGAGAGGCCGGAUCAAAAUCAGGAUUUUUAAGAUGAUGGCCAAAUCAAUGGUUUCAUUCGCGUCGAUGAUCUUCAAUUCUGGAAAACCAAAGAGGGGAGGUGGUGAAGGAUGCCUCGGCUCACUUCCGAUAGUCCCGACCUCGACUGCAAGUGGGCUCAGCUGAGGAGGCCAAUUUCGACGAUGUUUCUAAUCGGAAUUCAAGAGAGUGUGGGAAUCUGUUUGAAGAAUGAUGACAAAGCUGCAACUGAAUAAGUAGGACUCUUUCUUUUCUUCCUUCCCCCCUUCUUGGUUGUGG
rnacentral:lncRNA from 1 species